UGUUUUUCUACCUAUCCACGGCGUUUGGGUCUGUCCAAAUGCUUAGACUCUAUGGUGUUCCCUACAUGAUUUUUGUUAUGUGGUUGGACACCAUUACUUGCAUCACCAUGGCUAAGAACAAAAGCUUCCUUGGUACCACGGAAAGUUUGAGGUAUUGUCUUCCCUUCAUCCUACUCCAGCAGUUUUUGGGUUUCCUACAGAAGAGGCACGUGUUCUAAUUGCAGAAACUGGUACAUGUAUAUUGCUAUAUCAUUUAUGUUCUGCAAUUUGUGUUUUAUGGCUUGUUUACAUCCAUGUGAAAUUUUUAAGAUGAGACAUAAUUCAAUUCUUGACUAAAGUUGAACAAGAAAGGAAUCAAUGAUCUAAAGAAAGUAUACAUACUUAUCUUGCCUAGACGGAAUCAUAUAUCAUGAUUUACACUUCCCUGUAAAGCUUAUGUGUUUACUGUCCAUUAGUGC